AGCAGUAGCCGCGGGAAUACGUAGGUGGCAAGCGUUGUCCGGAAUUAUUGGGCGUAAAGGGCUCGCAGGCGGUUUCUUAAGUCUGAUGUGAAAGCCCCCGGCUCAACCGGGGAGGGUCAUUGGAAACUGGGAAACUAGAGUGCAGAAGAGGAGAGUGGAAUUCCACGUGUGGCGGUGAAAUGCGUAGAGAUGUGGAGGAACACCAGUGGCGAAGGCGACUCUCUGGUCUGUAACUGACGCUGAGGAGCGAGAGCGUGGGGAGCGAACAGGAUUAGAUACCCGAGUAGUCCCUGUCUCUUAUAC
rnacentral:rRNA from 1 species